rnacentral:sRNA from 1 species
UGUAUAUGAAGAUUGGGCGCGUUUAGUGAGAAAGUGUUUACACUUAAGUUUUCUUCUUUGCUCAGUUCUUGAGAUUAAUAGGAGCACCCCCAUGAGCAGAGAGUGCUAGACAGUCUUUUCAGAUGUCACCAAGUUAAGCAAUUUUUAACUUCUGGUUUUCUAAAGCCUGUAUCAAUUGCUUAGGGUUCUAGUCAAAUCGGCGUGACUUGAAAUGGUUUCAAAGUGUUGGGAUUUAGAACAAGAGACGCUGUCCUUUUUUAGUGCCCGCCCUCUCCCCGUGCAGUUUUCUGAAGCACCCUGAUGUCAUGUCCUCUCCUUACUAGUUUGCUUAUAAAAAUAAAUAAAGCAAGCCCUAACUACGUAGGAGAAACUGUUUGGCGGUGCAUAGCUGUGUUCUACAUGUCUCAUUACCAUUAACAGCCAUGCAUGACUAAACCGCCUUCUAUUGCUUGGAGUAUUUACCCUCUGGCUUUGUAGAGUGAUGCCUGAGUGUGGAUUUUACAAAGGAAUUUCAUAGCCAUCUCUGCUCUCUGCAGCACAUCCACUAUCUCAGAAUCCUGGCAACGGUGCUCAGGGAAAGUGAAGGGCACGUAGUGAGUCCUUUCCGGCUCACCUCUUGUCUUAACUCAGGGACAAGCUACUUUCCUUUAAUUCUGUCCCCCAUUUCCCACUACUGUCAUAUAACCAAAGGCAAAGCCUCCUUCUUUGUACACUGCAAAGGAAAAGAAAACCAUCCAGUUAAAACACAGACACGAAAACUAGACAGCACAGUGUGGUCUGUUGAGGGCCAGGAAUUUAAAGAAACAACUGUGUUGUCGACCAAGGAGAAUGGAGAAUAAGCCAUCUCUCCCCACCCUCCAUCCCCGCCUUGGAGUUUCUGUAAUUUUGCAAGAUUUAGGCAUUGGUAAGGAAUUAGAGAUGAGAGACAUUUGGGGGAAUCUUGAGAAAGCAACAGAGUUUAAAAAGGGACAGGAGGACCAAGGAGAGUUCGGUCCCUAGGGAAACAGGUUUACUAGGGUGGCAUUUGACAGAGAAUAUUUUGAAUGGGCUUUACCCCUAUGCAUAAGAUUGGGACCCUUCUGGUUGAAGGGACCCCAUCUGUACUGGGACAUCUAUAUUUCCAUUCAGGGUAUUUGAAAUAACCUUGAUUCUCAUCUUCCUCCCUUAUUAAAUUGGCAGCCCUGCUCACGGUACACAUCAAGGUUUUGUCUUAUGCGCCAAGUCUUCCUCUUCUAACCCUUUCUAACCCUUCAUUUCUUCCCAGAGAAAGAAGUCAUUUACCGUCAAAUGCCACGUUUCAGGACUAGUAGCUAAAGUCCCUCUUUGGGGGGGGGAUGCGGGCUUAGCUCCUGCCAUGAGCUCAUCUGUCUCAGCCCCAUUUAUUUCUCCUGGGUGAUGAGAAGACCUGUGCUUCUCCGUUAAAAGGCACUAGGAAAGAAGGAGUUAAAGUGAAGGCAGGCUCGCUGGUUUGCUGAGAUCUGUCAGAGGCUGACUGGCUGGCUACAUAUCUGUCUCUGGAACAAUAGGUACCUGUAUUCUGCAUGGGCUGCUGGGCAGGCAGUACUAACACUCUGGAGAAGGUCUGCCUCUGUCUGAGCCUUCCUGGUUCAAUGCAGGCAGAUGAGUGCCACAGCUGUAACUGAGGCGUAGAAUAAUCAACACAUCGGAGCCAAUCCCCCUGACACCAAGAGGGGAAUCCGGCAGAGGUGACCGACCGCGAGGACAAGACCGUUCUUCUGACAAGUUUUAGGUAAGGGAACAUUUAUAUACAAUUCUUGCAUUUCUGAAUCUCGGUGACUGAGAGAGACACUUGUGAUAAAAAGAAAGGGAAGUCGUUGUAGGUAAAUAUUUUUGAGAGGGCAUCCUUCUUGUUGUCCGUUGCUUGCAGAACCUGUCAGUGUUUAUGCGGGGGCUUUGUGUUACUAGAAUCUUCAGAGGUGAGGUGUGAGCAGGACUGGAGGAAGGGUGAGCUGCUUUUUAUGUCUGUAUGGUGACAUUUACCAUGCUGUUUAAAUCUGUAUCUGUUAAAAAAAAAAAAGAAAGAAAGAAAAUAGAAUUUCUGUUUGACGAUAGUAACGUUUUGUGCAAGGCAGAGCAUAUGGCUGUGCAGAAUUCAAGUGGCGUUCUUUUAUUUUUAAUUUGUAAUUAUUUUUACAUUCAACUGUACUGAGGUCAGAGAGUUUUAAAAAUUAAUGAGAUUCCCUGUGGAGUUCAAAUAGUAAUAUCUACGUGAGCCUCCACAAAGAGAUAAGAUUAGGCCAGUAUAUAUGUAUUUUUUUCUUUCUUUCUUUCUUUUUUUUUUUUUUUUUUUGGCCAUGAUUUGGCUGUCUUACUUUGAAUACACGCCAUCUGAAGCAUAUGUAGGGUUCAAUAGUUUCUGGGAGUUGGUGUGAUUUGGAAGACUAGCCCUUAAUUUAUUGUUUAGUGACCAAGAGGCAUGGAGCCCCAGUUAGACUGCUGAGGAUGAACACUGUUAGGUGGGGACAUUCCUAAAACUUCACAGACUUUAUUGUCAUGACAAUGGAGCGAGUCUUAGACUUUCGAGGAAAGAGCAAAUGAUAAAUGAGGCAACGUGCUAAGAAGAAGAAGAAAAAGAAAAUCUGCGAAUGUGGCUUUAUUUUAAGUACUGUGUGAAAAUUCUAGGUAAAGACAGUUAUUUAGGAUCAAAGCUUGCUGGUCUGAACAAAGAGGCAAAGAUCCGCACAGGUGAAAAUUCUUUGCCACAAAAUGAAUCUAGAGCAUAGAUUAAGGGCAGGAAGUGAUUUGGUGAUUCACUAUUUUAUUUUAUUAUUAUUUUUUUAACCUUUAUUCUUGCCCCAUAAAGGUAGUUCACUGGGUUGAGUCCAGGCAUUUACAACUUUGAUUUCCCACAAUUUAAAAGCAUUGUUUGUGUGUCCGUGGUCUAAGACGCUGUUUAUAGGAGAGGCACUGAGAAGUAGUCUGAACAGAGGGUAAUCUGGGCUUCCAUUUACAAGAUCCAUUCAGGUCUUCCUGUGAUAUAUUGUUAUGUAAAUACUUUUCGGCCAGGGAGAGCUGGGCUAUGGAGAUUCAAUUUACUUUGAAAGUUGUUCAUUAUAGCAAGGAUGAAUGUUAUUUAUUUGAUGCGAUUCAAAGACUGGAAAUGACUUUUUCAUUGUGGUACUUUUUGUGAUGGGUCCAGGGUGAUCUAAUCUUUUUAAUUUUGGCUUUCACACCAGUGGAGAUGAAAAGAGAUCUGAACUCAUUUAUCGGUUGCUAGGUCUUUCUGGAAGCCCAAGUUCUGUUUGUGGUUGCUAUGGUCAGGCUGACCUCAAUCUCUGUGGUUUGAGGGACUUAAGCAGUCAUUUUUUUUCUUUUCUUUUCUUUUCUUUUUUUUUUUUAAUUGAGGAGCAUGUACCUUGAUUUAUGUCCAAAACUGUAGCUGAAUGUCUUUGUCUGCGGGUGAUAUAUGGUGCAGAACAAUUCAUCUGUUCUUACGAGUAAACACCGCUGUCCCACUAAAAAUAUGUUUUGUUCGGAGUUAAUGGUAUGGAACAAGGCAUUCUCCACAAAUAGCUAUCUUUUAUUGUGUUGGGGCCGCGGAAACGCUGAGCAAAGUGCAGGAAAUUGGCAUCAGUCCUCGCGUCUAUUAGCAUUUCAUUUGUGAGUCGCAUGAUAAGACCGGUAGGUGGACAGAGGGAGCCAGGAAGGGUUGUUUCGACAUCUUCACUUUCUCAACUGGGACCGCCUAGCCUGACCCGCAUUCGCCAGGACCCAGUAAGUCAGCGUUAGUUCCCCCUGACCCGGUGAGCAUCGUUUCGCCCAAGCGCUAAAGCACACCCAGGCGGACGUGCUGAGGCUCAGCGCUGGGGACCGGUAUUCUUAGGCUCCUUGAGGGAAAGUUGCUGGGUCCGAUCUCGGCACCACCCAGGACUGUAAUGUCUAUGCGCUACUGAAUGGUCCCCGGUCGCCUGCUUUCUAGACUCUUGUUAGAAAGGAGCCCGGGUGAAUCAGAGGCUAUGGAGAACGCAGCCCAAUUCAGCAGAUGAGCCGGAAUACAGUCCUGCUCCCUUAAAAACUGCUAAUUGAUGGAUGCUGCGGGGGAACAGACACCGCGAACGAGGGCAAAAUAGGAAUCAGGAGAGGCACGUAUUGCCGAUAGCACCACCGAUUUCCUUCUCAAAGCAGCUUGCACGGACUAUCCUCAGGAAAAUGAGAUCCAGGAGAAGUGACGCCCUCCUCGAACUGAAAGAUACUCAUGCUAAUGGUGUCACGGAAGAAGCGAUGUAUCGACAGCUCAGGAUGGCUGCAGGGGACAUAUUCAGACGUGGCCCAGAUUGUCUGCCCAUGGGGACUGAGAUACCUCUGAGAUUUAUAUCAGAUCUCCACAGUCUUUGUCGCUGUAUUUUGUUAGAAAGAAAGGCGAGGCUGUUUCUACAGGUGCCACAGAAAAAUCGAUGCCGAGUCACGGAUUAUUGGAUCCCACAGAACCAUGGAGACUUGGCGGUGAAAUUCUUCUAAAGUUUCUUCUGGCUAUCAGAGAGUUGAAAGGGGAAAAAAAAAUAAAGAGCCAAAGCUGUUUCAACUUCUUGGUUGUUUUACUCCAUGGCUUAGCAUUCCAUCUGCGCAGGCAGAGGUGUUCCUGGUUUGGGAAGUAUAAAUCCCGCGGGAAGUCAACUGGAGAACAUUUUACGCGUCCGUCACUCAUCCUAUUAUGAGCCUGCUGCUCUUCCUUCUCUGGACAAGCCUAAACUUUAAGAUUUGCUGAACAAACCUUGUGUCAAAUUUGGACCACCUAGACAGUAUUCCACCCUGAUUGUAUCCCAUGUCACUAUUCUGUGCAAGGCCACCGACUAGAAGAGCACAGAAUUAUUAAAAAGAAAACAAAAAAAAAAACCAAAAAAAACACAGCUGAAAGUGAACGUCUUUGGAUUUCCCAUUUAAUGAGUUGGCAGCUAAAGGACAGGAGCAGCAAUAAGGCUGCCUGGCUACAUUUUCAUAGUGCCACCAACUGCGAGUUAAGCUGACAAACAUUUUGAGAGCUCGGCCCAUUUCAUUCACAGCAGGAUGGCAGGAGUUAACUAACACUGUAAAAAAAACCUAACUAAAAAUCGUGCCUUUACUGCACAUUUGCACAGAAUCUCAGGACUGAAAGUGUCGAAGUUCUGCUCGACAAGCGGGUGACUGAUUGUCCCUGCCAGCUGGCUAAUAUCAUAAUUAGCAAAGUUGCUACCACAUCUGCAAAGUUUAAUCGAAAAAUUUACCAGUGGUAUGAUGGCAUUGUCACCAUGAUCCCAAGGGAAUCGGAGUCGACUUCUGCUUCAGGAGGAACGGCAAGGCUGUAUAGCUGAGAUGAGAAAUUGUAAACUUGCUCAGCCAAAGGUUAUGCUUCGCAUCACCCACCAGGGAGGAUCAUCUCUCAUGAAAACUUUCAAAUUUGAUUUUGAAAAUUUAUUCAGAAAAAUUUAAGCCACGCUCUUUUUCAACACAGAAAAUAAUAUGCUCCAGAGAAUCCUCUAAUUCACAGAAAAUGGACUCGGAUAACAUUUGGGUUCUCAUACUACCACAGUUCUCUUGAGAAGGACAGCCAGGAGGCUAAUAAUGAAGGGGCCAGGGAAGGAGGCCAAUGCUACAAGGGUUAUCUCUCAACCUCAGAUGUUGGAUAAGUCAGGGAACAGCGUCGUUUCUGGAUGGCUUCAGACAGGCCGGACUGACUGUUUGGAAGAGAAAAACCUGCUUAUUCUUUCAAAGGUACAUGAAUGUUGUCCACACCUUCCCGUCUAAAGGUUAGAAUCUUGCCUUAGACAAAGGAUGCUCUUGGAGUCCCACCACACCUAAAACCACGCUUUGAAGGAUCUGCCAAGCUCACUUUUAAUCAUGAGAAAGAAAUUACCCACAUGGAGACAGCAGAAAAUGAGAAAGGAGAGAUCGUGCUGCGAAUAAUUCCAGCGAGUGCCAAGGGGCUAGUUGAGGAAUGGCUUCAUGAGGUGAAUAUCUUAGCUUGUACUUAGAAUUUGGUUAGCGUAUAAUCAGUUUCUCUUUUAGGAGCGAAUACAAUCCUAAGUGUAUUUCCCAUCUGAGCACCGCUCAGGGCAUUUAUCAGGAUGUUGACAUAUUUAAUAUCGGCCUCGUCCUCGCCGUUAUUUAUGAUGACUAAUUUUACACUUAUAAAUAUGCAGAAAUCGAUGUAGGUGGAAAGGCUCUCUGAGCCCCAUGUCUGUCGCUAGCCGUCUGUCUUCAUGUGCAGCGCUCUGCUAGUGUGGCCUGUCCAGUAAUGUGUGUCUCUGUGUAUGUGCGUGCUCUUGUUGUCUCCUCUCCGCUGUGAAUGUGCAUUGGGAGAAUUAGCCUUAUGACAGGAUAUCAAAAGAUGGGCCCAAGACUUUCAUUUUUGGAAUGGAAAGAAAAAAUAAUGCGUAACACUUUGUAUCACAUCAGUUUCAAUUCUUCCUGAGAGGGAGGGGGCCAAUCAGGUAUGAGUCAUCACAGGGCAAAGCAACCAGGAUUCAAAUUGAACAUCACCUUCAGUGUCAAAUUAGUUGAAAGUCCCCCUUUUCCUUUACGGUGACUGGCUGAAACCCCUGCCAUUAUGUCUGUUUGUUUUAAAAGGGUGGGGGGAGCUGCCUGAGUUCAUCCACAGUGCCAUGUAGCUUUUCUUUGUUUCAUUUUUCUAAGGAUCAGAUCCAAGAAAAAUAAUAGGUUAGUAAUUCAAGACCAUCACUACUUACACGGUUCUCUCCCGGGCAUGUCAUUUCUUUGGGUGCCAAGUUUCAUCAAGAUCACUAAGUAAACAAAUGAGCGAUAACUUUUUUGCUCCUUUUUUCUUUUAAUUUGACUAGGGAGUAAGAACUGGGAAAGUCAAGUGUCUUUAUGAGUCACAGAGGAAGAAUGCAGGAACCCCCACCCCCACCCCCCAACUUCUGGUCUCAGACUUUGAUUUCCCACACAACCAAGUCACGGGAUCGCCAUGCCAACCUUAAGCAAUUUUGGCUCCCAGCAAUCCUGUGCUGGGGAAUCUUUCAAACUACCCUUCAAUCCGGGUCCAAAGGGCCACAGCACAGACUAGUAGAAAGAGUGCAUUAUCUGAGAAAGCACCAGGCUGCUUUCCCAUUGGUAUAUGUGUUUGGUGCCACGGUUAAGCACCGCUGGGGUCUAAUACGUGGAUGACCCCCUUUAUAGAGUGUGGGGGCUUCUGAGGAAAAGGCAAGCAUUGACUAAGAAAAAGAGUCAUUCUUCCAUGUGUUUUCAUAAAAGGACAAGGCAGGCCUCUUUGAGAGCUUCUGAAAGAGAAGAGGCAUGGGAGGAGAUGAGCCAGCUGGGGGUGGGUUGUUUUGGGGAGGGGAGCCAGCUGGGGAAUGGAGAGAGAGAGAGAGAGGCUGGGGAGAUAGCCAGCUGGGAGAAGAGGUAGGAUAAAGCCAAGGCACAAAGGUACAGGCAGAUGAGCAGCUGUGUUUAUUUGAAUACAUAUCAUUUAACCCUCACCUAAAAACAAAUUGGAGAGGUUUGGGAGUGCAUUAAUCUGGACCCAAUUAGCAUGUCUUUCCCCUUCAAAAGGUGCAACCUGAGAUUAAUGAAUAUCAACCAGAGUUUCAGAAGCAGCACUUAAAUCAUUUGCAUGUUUGUGCAUGAUAAUUGGAUUUAUGUAUGCACUUCCUUUCAUUUAACUAUUUCCAGUCUCCUUAUGAGUGAGUCAUACAACCCAAAACUUCAUUCGAGUGAUUUCUAGGUAGAAAUAGCUUACCUAGCAUUCUACCCCUAAGGGGGGAAAAACUCAAGUGGUUGUACAUUUUGAAUUUGAAUACCACAUUUCUUUCUUUUAUUAUUAUUUUUUUUAACAUAGAGGGCAGUUGAUAAUAGUGUGGAAUGCUGCUGCUUCUGGAGUUGGUAAAUAGGCACCACAGAUUUAUCUUUAAAAGGCUAGGAAAAUAAGGAAAUUUCCAACAUCAAGCUUUCAUGGCUUCCGUGUGGCCACUAGUAAGAGAUUUUAUAAUGCUAGGAACGAGGCCACUUGAAUGCCGCAUGGGGAAUGUUCUUGGUGUCUGGACCUGUGGCAAUUAGAUCACAGAGACAUCAGCAUCCAGGAUGGUUUAUGGCAUAGUUAGAAAUGUGUUUCUAUAGAAAGAGAUGGGAAUGCGGUCAACAUCUGUGAACUGCUGUGGACAGGCAAGGAGCAUUGUGAACCCUUGAUGCUGUGGGUUUGGUCCUUCUCAUUUCCUCCCUCCCUCCCUUCCUUCCUUCCUCCCUCCCUCUCUCCCCACCUUC